AGACACCGGCGAAGCUGACCAAAUUCUCAUGGAGUGACUGAGGACAGUGGAGAGAAGAGCUUCUUCAAUCUCAAGCUCAACACCUCCAGGGUCCUUGGAUGUAAAAGAGUAUCCUAGAAAGACACACGUGCAGAAUUAUCACCCUCUCUUUUGCCGAUUCGGUUGUCAUGAACUUCUACUUUACGUAAAGGUCGUGGUGUCCCAUCAAUAUGUCAUAUGGUUUUGAAAAUAAAAAAAAAAUUGUUGAUGAGAUCGAAUCCUUUGGUGCCAAAAUGUCUAGUUUUGUGGCAUAAGCCUAUCUCCUGAGACGCCACCUCUAAGGAGACAAUCUAAGCAUCAUUAUUCCCCACAAGCGUGUUUUUUCCUCAGGGGGGAAUGUACUACUACUGUGUAAUGGAUACAUUCUCUAAAAUCAUUCUAUGGGCUCGAUAUCUGGAGCUGUCAAGGAUCAUUCUACAAAUAAUAAUGUGCAAAACACUUGCUUAGAGACUUCUUUCUAUGUAUGGGUGUCAAAUUUCAGUUUGAAACAAUCGGAUUGAAAUUUUUGAAUUGAAUCAAAUCAUGUAUUUAUUUGUUCGA